rnacentral:misc_RNA from 1 species
GAAACAUGGCAGAGUAGUGUUAUGAAUUUGAUUCCACGUGUUUAGAAAUAUUAACUUUUGAGUUUAAUUUAGCAGUAUGAUAUAUUAAAUAGUCCUCCUUUGUCAAUUCUUUAAUAUUCAAUUAUACUUUUGUGUCUUUUGAAAACUUUCCUCUUUAGAUGUCAUAAAUAAAUAUUUCUUUACAUUUGACUUGUUAAAUAAAAAUUAAAAAAACUCUUUACAGGUGGGAUACUUUGGCAGGUGAC